rnacentral:rRNA from 1 species
ACAGGUGGUGCAUGGCUGUCGUCAGCUCGUGUCGUGAGAUGUUGGGUUAAGUCCCGCAACGAGCGCAACCCUUGUCCUAUGUUGCCAGCACGUAAUGGUGGGGACUCGUAGGAGACUGCCGGGGUCAACUCGGAGGAAGGUGGGGACGACGUCAAGUCAUCAUGCCCCUUAUGUCCAGGGCUGCAAACAUGCUACAAUGGCCGGUACAAAGGGCUGCUAUACCGCGAGGUUGAGCGAAUCCCAAAAGCCGGUCUCAGUUCGGAUUGGAGUCUGCAACUCGACUCCAUGAAGUCGGAGUCGCUAGUAAUCCCGGAUCAGCAACGCCGGGGUGAAUACGUUCCCGGGCCUUGUACAC